GAUGAACGCUGGCGGCGUGCUUAACACAUGCAAGUCGAACGGUGAAGGCGGAGCUUGCUCUGCUGGAUCAGUGGCGAACGGGUGAGUAACACGUGAGCAAUCUGCCCCUGACUCUGGGAUAAGCGCUGGAAACGGCGUCUAAUACUGGAUACGAGCUGCGAAGGCAUCUUCAGCAGCUGGAAAGAAUUUCGGUCAGGGAUGAGCUCGCGGCCUAUCAGCUUGUUGGUGAGGUAAUGGCUCACCAAGGCGUCGACGGGUAGCCGGCCUGAGAGGGUGACCGGCCACACUGGGACUGAGACACGGCCCAGACUCCUGCGGGAGGCAGCAGUGGGGAAUAUUGCACAAUGGGCGAAAGCCUGAUGCAGCAACGCCGCGUGAGGGACGACGGCCUUCGGGUUGUAAACCUCUUUUAGCAGGGAAGAAGCGAAAGUGACGGUACCUGCAGAAAAAGCGCCGGCUAACUACGUG
rnacentral:rRNA from 1 species